rnacentral:rRNA from 1 species
CCAGAAGAAUAAAAUUUUGUACGUGUACGAAAUUGAAGGUAUUCUGGGAAUAAGCAUCGGCUAACUCCGUGCCAGCAGCCGCGGUAAUACGGAGGAUGCAAGCGUUAUCCGGAUUUAUUGGGUUUAAAGGGUGCGCAGGCGGAAUAGUAAGUCAGUGGUGAAAACCUGCAGCUUAACUGUAGAAUUGCCAUUGAUACUGUUAUUCUUGAGUAUGGUCAAGGUAGGCGGAAUGUGUAAUGUAGCGGUGAAAUGCUUAGAUAUUACACAGAACACCGAUUGCGAAGGCAGCUUGCUGGGCCAUUACUGACGCUCAUGCACGAAAGCGUGGGGAUCGAACAGGAUUAGAUACCCUGGUAGUCCACGCCGUAAACGAUGAUCACUCGCUGUUAGCGAUACACUGUUAGCGGCUAAGCAAAAGCAUUAAGUGAUCCACCUGGGGAGUACGGCCGCAAGGCUG